CGAGAAUGAAUCGGGCUCGGCCCGAUCCUCCCACCCUUUGUGUACCUACCUCUGUUGCUUUGGCGGGCCGCGGUCCUCCGCGGCCGCCCCCCUCCCCGGGGGGGUGGCCAGCGCCCGCCAGAGGACCAUCAAACUCCAGUCAGUAAACGAUGCAGUCUGAAAAACAUUUAAUAAACUAAAACUUUCAACAACGGAUCUCUUGGUUCUGGCAUCGAUGAAGAACGCAGCGAAAUGCGAUAAGUAAUGUGAAUUGCAGAAUUCAGUGAAUCAUCGAAUCUUUGAACGCACAUUGCGCCCUUUGGUAUUCCGAAGGGCAUGCCUGUUCGAGCGUCAUUACAACCCUCAAGCUCUGCUUGGUAUUGGGCACCGUCCUUUGCGGGCGCGCCUCAAAGACCUCGGCGGUGGCGUCUUGCCUCAAGCGUAGUAGAACAUACAUCUCGCUUCGGAGCGCAGGGCGUCGCCCGCCGGACGAACCUUCUGAACUUUUCUCAAGGUUGACCUCGGAUCAGGUAGGGAUACCCGCUGAACUUAAGCAUAUCAAUAAGACGGAGGAA
rnacentral:rRNA from 1 species